rnacentral:rRNA from 1 species
GGCUCAGAUUGAACGCUGGCGGCAUGCUUUACACAUGCAAGUCGAACGGCAGCACAGGGAGCUUGCUCCCGGGUGGCGAGUGGCGCACGGGUGAGUAAUACAUCGGAACGUGUCCUGGUUGUGGGGGAUAACUGCUCGAAAGGGUGGCUAAUACCGCAUGAGACCUGAGGGUGAAAGCGGGGGAUCGCAAGACCUCGCGCAAUUGGAGCGGCCGAUGCCCGAUUAGCUAGUUGGUGAGGUAAAGGCUCACCAAGGCGACGAUCGGUAGCUGGUCUGAGAGGACGACCAGCCACACUGGGACUGAGACACGGCCCAGACUCCUACGGGAGGCAGCAGUGGGGAAUAUUGCACAAUGGGCGAAAGCCUGAUGCAGCAACGCCGCGUGAGUGAAGAAGUAUCUCGGUAUGUAAAGCUCUAUCAGCAGGGAAGAAAAUGACGGUACCUGACUAAGAAGCCCCGGCUAACUACGUG